UUUGGAAGGAAGCAUGAAGUGCUCCAAAAUCUCUUGGUAGAUGGCUGCAUUGACCCUGGACUUAAUGAAGCACAGUGCACAGAGAAAAAGCUGCUAUAGAGUUGAGAAAGUAAAUGUGGUUGUAUGAAUCAGUCCCAAAGUCACACAUGAAGUUGAUUAUUUGAUGGGUACAGGGUUGUGAAUGUAUAUCUAUUGGCCUCAGCUUGAUGGGUUACAAACUGGUAGACCGAUCUAAAACUUUCCCCCAAUAGUAAAAGUUAAUAUAUCCCCCAAAUAAAACUAUUCAUCACCUAUUAUGGAGAUCCAUCUUGACAGGGCUGAGAUGCAGUCUGACUGUUAACUGUUUUUGACUUUACCAAGACUUAAAGCAUAUCCUCUUUGUGACAUCACACAUGACAUCAGAAUGGCCUGUUUGCAUUCAACCUAGACUAUCUCCAUGCCAACAGAAAUGGCCAGUAAACUUCUGCAACCAAGUAACCAUCAGCCUGACUACCCAGUUGUUUCUCUCUAGACUAUUGGAUGUUCAGUUUUUGCUCUCAUAAUCAAAGCCUGAAGAAGAGCUUUGUAUAAUCUGAAAACCUGCUUCCGCUGUUAAAGAAAAUUUAAAACAGCAUCUGACACAAGCAUGAAAGGUCUGCAUGAGGGAAAUCCAAACCAUCAUGUUGAGGUGUUCAUGAAAGAUCCUUGUUAAUGGUUUCUGAAAUCCCAGCUAACAUGUUACACUGAAGGACCAAAAAUGAGUGUCUCCAAUGACCUACUGAGGAAAGCUCAUAAUGAUGUCUUUGAUUUUUCGGUUCUCCAGUGUCUAAAAUUCUCCAUAUAAAAUGAAUCUGUUUCAUAGCAAAGUG